GGAUAUGGAGCACCAAAUGGUGGAAUACCGAAAGGAAACAAUGGUAUGGCGGGGGCUGGAGGUAAACCAAUGAAAGGCUAUGGCCGACCAUACUAUGGAGCAGGUGUCGGUGCAGGGAUUGGACUAUCCCAAGGUCAGGGGGUGCCUCAGCUUGCCAGGAACAAGGGC